GCUGGGUUGAAACAUGAUGAAAAGCAAAAACUCUUGACGCAAGAGUGAAGAUGGCAAGAUCCAACUCUGAUUUCUCCCAGUC
rfam:Alligator mississippiensis ScZkoYb_18, whole genome shotgun sequence.